rnacentral:rRNA from 1 species
UACGGAGGGUGCAAGCGUUAUCCGGAUUCACUGGGUUUAAAGGGUGCGUAGGUGGGCAGGUAAGUCAGUGGUGAAAUCUCCGGGCUUAACUCGGAAACUGCCAUUGAUACUAUCUGUCUUGAAUACCGUGGAGGUUAGCGGAAUAUGUCAUGUAGCGGUGAAAUGCUUAGAUAUGACAUAGAACACCAAUUGCGGAGGCAGCUGGCUACACGAAUAUUGACACUGAUGCACGAAAGCGUGGGGAGCAAACAGG